AGCCAGCUGAACGUAUUGCACCUCCCUUCCCAUAGGACUAGGGAGCAACCUCCCAUUAAGGCUAGGUAAACACUCCACACAGUGAGCUGCGCCACAGCCCUAUGUACAGGCUUUGAGCAGUAACUAUCUGGCCCAUAUACAGCGUGGAACUGGAUCAAAGAGGCGUCUUCUCCAUCUCGCCGGGCCUCCUUAGUUUACAAAGGGUGUGACCGCCGACUCGAGCCCUGGGAAGCAACUGUUAAUCUAUACGCCGCAGCCGAGGUGCUGGGACGCCGAGAGCCAAGUGCAUGUCAGUCUGCAGAUCCCAGCUCAUCCUUGGCAGGAUCCAGAACCUGUAGGAUGGCAGCACAGGUGCAUCUCUCGGCCUGUCGCCCUAUGACUCCCAGACACACACCAGUCCGGAGCCCGUAAGUGAGCCCUUGGGAGCCGCUGGGCUGCGUUCCCCAAUCGUCUGCAUAACCCGCCCGCAGCCCGCGCUGCCCCGUACCUCGUGCUCCAGCUUGUGCAGGAGGCUGCCCCACAGCCGCUCCGGGACGCCCGAGGCGCGCAGCGCGGGACCGUGCAGCGCCACGAACUCGUCCAGCAGCCGCUCAUUCAGCCUCUCGGUGCGGCCCGGA